UGCCGAACUCAGAAGUGAAACGCCGUAGCGCCGAUGGUAGUGUGGGGUCUCCCCAUGCGAGAGUAGGGAACUGCCAGGC
rnacentral:rRNA from 1 species